GACGGGGUGCAGCAGGCGCGAAACCUUUACACUGCACGACAGUGCGAUAAGGGGACCCCGAGUGCGAGGGCAUACAGUCCUCGCUUUUCUGAACGGUAAGGACGUUCAGGAACAAGUGCUGGGCAAGACCGGUGCCAGCCGCCGCGGUAAUACCGGCAGCACGAGUGAUGGCCGAUCUUAUUGGGCCUAAAGCGUCCGUAGCUGGCCGAGCAAGUUCGUCGGGAAAUCCACCAGCCCAACUGGUGGACGUCCGGCGAAAACUGCUUGGCUUGGAGCCGGAAGACCCAAGGGGUACGUCCGGGGUAGGAGUGAAAUCCUGUAAUCCCGGACGGACCGCCGAUGGCGAAAGCACCUUGGGAAGACGGACUCGACAGUGAGGGACGAAAGCUGGGGUCUCGAACCGGAUUAGAUACCCGGGUAGUCCCAGCCGUAAACGAUGCCUGCUAGGUGUGGCACUGGCUACGAGCCAGUGCUGUGCCGUAGGAAGCCGUGAAGCA
rnacentral:rRNA from 1 species